UACGUAGGGGGCGAGCGUUGUCCGGAUUUAUUGGGCGUAAAGAGCGUGUAGGCGGCCAGGUAGGUCUGCUGUGAAAACUCGAGGCUCAACCUCGAGACGUCGGCGGAAACCAUCUGGCUAGAGUCCGGAAGAGGAGAGUGGAAUUCCUGGCGUAGCGGUGAAAUGCGCAGAUAUCAGGAAGAACACCCGUGGCGAAGGCGGCUCUCUGGGACGGUACUGACGCUGAGACGCGAAAGCGUGGGGAGCGAACAGG
rnacentral:rRNA from 1 species